UACAGAGGUGGCAAGCGUUGUUCGGAAUUACUGGGCGUAAAGGGCGCGUAGGCGGCCUUCUAAGUCCGACGUGAAAUCCCCCGGCUUAACCUGGGAACUGCGUCUGAUACUGGAGGGCUUGAGUGCGGGAGAGGGAUGUGGAAUUCCAGGUGUAGCGGUGAAAUGCGUAGAUAUCUGGAGGAACACCGGUGGCGAAGGCGGCAUCCUGGACCGACACUGACGCUGAGGCGCGAAAGCUAGGGUAGCAAACGGG
rnacentral:rRNA from 1 species